rnacentral:ncRNA from 1 species
UCAUUGGUGUUGUGGCUUGGGCUACAAUGAAAAGGGAAUCAGGUGCGAAUCCUGAGCAGAAUCCGCUGCUGUAAGUCGCGCAUAUCAACCUCACCGACAGUGUCCACUGCCCUUGUCUGAAAUCGGGUGGGAAGGAGUCGGGAAAAAGAGGGCGACGAGCCAGAAGACCUGCCGGUGAAUGU